rnacentral:rRNA from 1 species
AGCGAACGCUGGCGGCAGGCUUAACACAUGCAAGUCGAGCGGGCACUUUCGGGUGUCAGCGGCGGACGGGUGCGUAACGCGUGGGAACGUGCCCUCUGGUUCGGAAUAACUCAGGGAAACUUGAGCUAAUACCGGAUACGCCCUUUUGGGGAAAGGCUUGCUGCCGGAGGAUCGGCCCGCGUCUGAUUAGCUAGUUGGUGAGGUAACGGCUCACCAAGGCGACGAUCAGUAGCUGGUCUGAGAGGAUGAUCAGCCACACUGGGACUGAGACACGGCCCAGACUCCUACGGGAGGCAGCAGUGGGGAAUAUUGGACAAUGGGCGCAAGCCUGAUCCAGCCAUGCCGCGUGGGUGAUGAAGGCCUUAGGGUUGUAAAGCUCUUUUAUCCGGGACGAUAAUGACGGUACCGGAGGAAUAAGCCCCGGCUAACUUCGUG